rfam:Loxodonta africana unplaced genomic scaffold scaffold_23, whole genome shotgun sequence.
UGUCAGCCCAAAGGUCCAUAGGUCCGUAUCUAAAUAGACACUUAUUCCACUGUUCGAGGUAAACAAACAAGAAAGGGUACAGCUAAGGCGAAAACAAAAGCGACUUUCAGCCAGUGCCUAGACUCCAAGCAGCGAAUUUGUUUCUGAGACCUUGUGUAUGGAUACACGUGUACUUAAAACAGCCCCGCCAA